rnacentral:lncRNA from 1 species
UGAGAUUUGAAGGAACCAGAUUUAGGGUUGCAGGGUUAGAUCUUGAAACUUUUUCAAGAUCAGGCAGCGGAAGACUAAAAUAAAUCAAAAUUUAUCUUAUAAAAUCAAAGAAUCCCUAGAUCUAAGAUCCUAUUACAUGAUUAUUACACGGUAUUAAAUCAAAAAUUAAAAUAUAAAGAGCAAUAACUACAUGUUGAUCAUAUCAACAUGUUUCUAUACUACAUCUAAUGUAUGUAAAAUAUA